rnacentral:snRNA from 1 species
AGUUUUGCACAGUGGCAAUAUCGUAGCCAAUGAGGUUUAUCCGAGGUGUGGUUAUGGAUAAUUGAAAAAAAAAAAUGGACUCUAGAGAAAUCUCUUACCCCUUCUGCCAUGUGAGGG